GACGAACGCUGGCGGCGUGCUUAACACAUGCAAGUCGAACGGAAAGGCCCUGCUUUUGUGGGGUGCUCGAGUGGCGAACGGGUGAGUAACACGUGAGUAAACUGCCCUUGACUUUGGGAUAACUUCAGGAAACUGGGGCUAAUACCGGAUAGGAGCUCCUGCUGCAUGGUGGGGGUUGGAAAGUUUCGGCGGUUGGGGAUGGACUCGCGGCUUAUCAGCUUGUUGGUGUGGUAGUGGCUGACCAAGGCUUUGACGGGUAGCCGGCCUGGGAGGGUGACCGGCCUCAUUGGGCCUGCGAGACGGCCCAGACUCCUACGGGCGGCAGUAGUGGGGAACAUUGCACAAUGGGCCGACGCCUGAUGCAGCAACGUCGCGUGCGUGAUGACGUCUUUCGGGUUGUAAACCGCUUUCGCCUGUGCCGAAGCGUGAGUGACGGUAAUGGGUAAAGAAGCACCGGCUAACUACGUG
rnacentral:rRNA from 1 species